CUUGAUUGGUUUACUCCAUGAGGGUGAAAGGGUUGCAAUAAACUGGUGGCUGCGACUGUUUAAUAAAAACACAGCACUCUGCAAACACGAAAGUGGACGUAUAGGGUGUGACGCCUGCCCGGUGCUGGAAGAUUAAAUGAUGGGGUGCAAGCUCUUGAUUGAAGUCCCAGUAAACGGCGGCCGUAACUAUAACGGUCCUAAGGUAGCGAAAUUCCUUGUCGGGUAAGUUCCGACCUGCACGAAUGGCGUAACGAUGGCCACACUGUCUCCUCCCGAGACUCAGCGAAGUUGAAAUGUUUGUGAUGAUGCAAUCUACCCGCGGCUAGACGGAAAGACCCCAUGAACCUUUACUGUAGCUUUGCAUUGGACUUUGAACCAAUCUGUGUAGGAUAGGUGGGAGGCUUUGAAGCGGGGACGCUAGUUCUCGUGGAGCCAACCUUGAAAUACCACCCUGGUUUGUUUGAGGUUCUAACCUUGGUCCGUUAUCCGGAUCGGGGACAGUGCAUGGUAGGCAGUUUGACUGGGGCGGUCUCCUCCUAAAGUGUAACGGAGGAGUUCGAAGGUACGCUAGAUACGGUCGGACAUCGUGUUGAUAGUGCAAUGGCAUAAGCGUGCUUAACUGCGAGACUGACAAGUCGAGCAGGUACGAAAGUAGGACAUAGUGAUCCGGUGGUUCUGUAUGGAAGGGCCAUCGCUCAACGGAUAAAAGGUACUCUGGGGAUAACAGGCUGAUUCCUCCCAAGAGUUCAUAUCGACGGGGGAGUUUGGCACCUCGAUGUCGGCUCAUCACAUCCUGGGGCUGUAGCCGGUCCCAAGGGUAUGGCUGUUCGCCAUUUAAAGUGGUACGUGAGCUGGGUUUAAAACGUCGUGAGACAGUUUGGUCCCUAUCUGCCGUGGGCGUUGGAAAUUUGAAGGGGGCUGCUCCUAGUACGAGAGGACCGGAGUGGACG
rnacentral:rRNA from 1 species